rnacentral:rRNA from 1 species
UACGUAGGGGGCAAGCGUUGUCCGGAUUUACUGGGCGUAAAGAGCGUGUAGGCGGCCAAGCAGGUCCGUUGUGAAAACUGGAGGCUUAACCUCCAGACGUCGACGGAAACCGCGUGGCUAGAGUCCGGAAGAGGAGAGUGGAAUUCCUGGUGUAGCGGUGAAAUGCGCAGAUAUCAGGAAGAACACCAAUGGCGAAGGCAGCUCUCUGGGACGGUACUGACGCUGAGGCGCGAAAGCUAGGGGAGCAAACGGG